GCCCCGGUAGCUCAAUUGGAUAGAGUGACGGACUUCGAAUCCGAAGGUUGGGAGUUCGAGCCUCCCCCGGGGUA
rnacentral:tRNA from 1 species